AGCAGCCGCGGUAAUUCCAGCUCCAAUAGCGUAUAUUAAAGUUGUUGCAGUUAAAAAGCUCGUAGUUGAAUUUCGGGAUUGACACAUCGGUCGUGCCUUAAGGGGUAUGAACUGGUGUAGUCAAUUUCUCACCUUCUGGAGAACCGCGAUGCCCUUAAUUGGGUGUCGCGGGGAACCAGGACCUUUACUUUGAAAAAAUUAGAGUGUUUAAAGCAGGCAUUUUGCUUGAAUACAUUAGCAUGGAAUAAUAAAAUAGGACGGCAUGAUUCUAUUUUGUUGGUUUCUAGGAUCACCGUAAUGAUUAAUAGGGAUAGUUGGGGGCAUUAGUAUUCAAUUGUCAGAGGUGAAAUUCUUGGAUUUAUUGAAGACUAACUACUGCGAAAGCAUUUGCCAAGGAUGUUUUCAUUAAUCAAGAACGAAAGUUAGGGGAUCGAAGACGAUCAGAUACCGUCGUAGUCUUAACCAUAAACUAUGCC
rnacentral:ncRNA from 2 species